UUGCAAGCUUUGCAACACCUGUUACUUUACGAUCACCGAAGUUAAGGAACGUUGAGUCUGGUCAGUACCUAGAUGGGUGAUCGCUUGUGAAUACCAGGUGCUGUAAG